rnacentral:lncRNA from 1 species
GCUUUUUCUUUCUUGUUUUGCAAAAUCGACUUUAAUUUCCCAUUAGAUGAAUAAAUAUGCUCUCUAUAUAUUCUAAUAGUAUAUAUUUUAGAUACAUUAUUAUCGUACUGAAAAAAAAAAUCUUCUUCAUCAAACAAAAAUAAAAAAUAAAAAAAUAAAGAGGACGUAAAAAUGUGUUUCCCGAAAUAUGUCGCGCGUCUUCCAACGGUUUUUUCUGAUUUUGCUCCAAAAACAGUUGUCUUUGCCUCGUUGCUGUCUCUGCGAAUUUACGAAUAUACCCUCUCUAUUGGCGUAGACCGUAUUGGAGACGUAC